AGUCGAGGGGCAGCGAGUAGAUUGCUUGCAAUCUACGUCGGCGACCGGCGCACGGGUGCGUAACGCGUAUGCAACCUACCCAUUACAGGGGGAUAACACUGAGAAAUCGGUACUAAUACCCCAUAACAUCCAGGGAGGCAUCUUCUUGGGUUGAAAACUCCGGUGGUAAUGGAUGGGCAUGCGUUGUAUUAGUUAGUUGGUGGGGUAACGGCUCACCAAGACGACGAUACAUAGGGGGACUGAGAGGUUAACCCCCCACAUUGGUACUGAGACACGGACCAAACUCCUACGGGAGGCAGCAGUGAGGAAUAUUGGUCAAUGGACGCAAGUCUGAACCAGCCAUGCCGCGUGCAGGAAGACGGCUCUAUGAGUUGUAAACUGCUUUUGUACGAGGGUAAACGCAGAUACGUGUAUCUGUCUGAAAGUAUCGUACGAAUAAGGAUCGGCUAACUCCGUGCCAGCAGCCGCGGUAAUACGGAGGAUUCAAGCGUUAUCCGGAUUUAUUGGGUUUAAAGGGUGCGUAGGCGGUCGGAUAAGUUAGAGGUGAAAUCCCGGGGCUCAACUUCGGAAUUGCCUCUGAUACUGUUCGGCUAGAGAGUAGUUGCGGUAGGCGGAAUGUAUGGUGUAGCGGUGAAAUGCUUAGAGAUCAUACAGAACACCGAUUGCGAAGGCAGCUUACCAAGCUACUUCUGACGUUGAGGCACGAAAGCGUGGGGAGCAAACAGGAUUAGAUACCCUGGUAGUCCACGCAGUAAACGAUGAUAACUCGUUGUCG
rnacentral:rRNA from 1 species